ACACGUGGGAGCCCAGUUGUUAUGGCGGCCGUCCGGACGCGUGUGCUCCUGGGACUCCGGGAUGCGGCGGUGAAGGGCUGCCCCAAGGGCCUCGCCGCCUGGACCGCUAGCAAGCUGGGUGGCGUCCCGGACGCCCUGCCGGCCGUCUCCACCCCGGGGCCGCGGUGUGACCGCUGCGCACAGCCGCUCUCGCUCGUCGUGCAGCUGUACUGCCCGCUGGAAGGCUCCCCGUUCCAUCGGCUCCUGUUCGUGUUCGCCUGUGCCCGUCCGGGCUGCGGCGACAGCCAGACGCGCAGCUGGAAGGUGUUCCGCUCCCAGUGCCUGCAAGUGCCAGAGAAAGAGACUCGGAACGCGCAGAAUCAGGGCAGUGGCCUUGCAGCCGAGAACUGGUGUGAAGGCUCACAUGACUGGGGAAGUGACACCGAGGAGACGCCUCCGCCGCCACCCACCUCAGAUCUGGGAAGUGAUUCUAAUGACGUCAGAGUGCUAGACUGGACCGAGAAGCUCCAAGCUCUUCACCUGCAGGACACUGCCCUGGCUGUUACCCGCCCUUCCCCUUCCGGGGAAGGGUUGGCAGCCCCCAUGGAAGCGCCACAGUUCCUGCCCUAUUAUAUCUGUGUCGUGGAGGAGGAGGAUUAUGGCAACUUCAUGGAUCUUGAUCAUGCCCACAGCCUUCUGCAGGAGUACCAGCAGAGAGAAGGUGUUGACAUGGAGCAGCUGCUUUCCCUAGGCUCUAGGGAUGGGGAUGAAAAGUACGAGAAGACCAACAUUAGCAGUGGAGACCCGACAUUUUACAAGUUCAUGAAGAGAAUUUCUGUUUGCCAGGAGCAGAUUCUGAGGUAUUCGUGGAGUGGAGAGCCUCUCUUUCUGUCCUGCCCCACAUUUGAAGUCUCUGAGAUCCCAGCCUGCAGUGGCUGUGGAGGCCAGAGGACGUUUGAGUUUCAGCUGAUGCCAGCACUGGUCAGCAUGCUGAGCGGUGCUAAUCUAGGUAAGAAGGCCUGUACUGAGCUUGUCAUAAAAGGAUUGAGACAUUAAAUUGUAAGAAAUUUGUAUUCCUGCAAAAUUCUAAUACCACACUAACAAUGACCAUUUGGAUGAGUCGAGACUGAAGAAGCUAAUUUACACAUAAGGGAUAGAACCAUGUAGAUAGCUGCCUCUGCAGAGCUGUCCUCUGACCUCCAGGUGUGCACCUACAGGAUACGUGCACACCCAUACACGACAAAUAUAAAUUAAUUAUAACCUGCUUGCCUGUGGCUAGGUACAUGCUUCUAGUCCUCUUCUCUCAGGACACUGAGGCAGGACAGUGCUUGAGGACAGACUGGACAACACAGAGACUGUUUCAAAAAGAGAACAAGUUAAGGUAGGGUAGGACAGGUUAGGUCUGGUCUCCUUUGGGAUUAUGAUCCUGAUGAUCAAAUUAGGGUUGGGUUGGGGCUAGAGGGGUGGCUCAGCAGUUAAGAGUACUGGCUGCUCUCCCAGAGGACCCCAAGCUCAAUUCCCAGCACCCACAAGAGAGCUUACACUACCUGUUACUCCAGUUUCAAGGGAUCUGAUGUUCUCUCUGACUUCCUUAGGCUCAUGCGUGCCUCUGGUGCAUGUACAUAUAUAUAAAAUAAAGAAUAUAGUUUUAUAAUAAAUUAAUAUAUUGGUCAGUUUCAUAUUCCUAUAGUAAAAUAUCUGAGACUAGGGGUGGCCAACCAUGGUGGCAUAGUCUGCACUACAUAGCAAGUUCCAGGCAGGCUAACCAGGGCUAAUAAUAAGACCGUAUCUAAGUCUCUAGGCUACAUAUGGUAGAACCACGUGGCUAGCUAGUAAGAUAGGGUAGGACCGAUUAGGUCUGGUUUCUUGGGAUUAUGACCCUGAUGACCUAAGGAUCUGCCCCACUAGGGCUCAUCUCCAGAAGUUCUGCUCCUUCCAGCCUUCUAGGGGUAUCAUCCUGGGGUCCUGGCUUUUUAUUAUCUUCUUGGCACUGUAUGAAGCUGCUGUGGCUGGCCUGGGACUCACUGGGGAAACUUUGGUUUUGCUUUUUCUAUUUUCCAGGGCUAGGCAUCAAAACUCAGCAUUUUCUCUUCCUAUGUUCUUCCUUUUAGCAGUCCUGGGCAUGGAACUUGUAGCCUUUCCACGCUGGGCAGGCACUGUGCCGCUGAGCUCUAUCCCUGACACACUGUUUUGUUUUGUUUUUGUUUUUUUCUGAGACAGCGUUUCUCUGUUUAGCUCUGGCUGUCCUGGAACUCAUACUUAGAGACUCAGAGAUCCACCUGCUUCUGCCUUCUGAGUGCUGAGAUUAAAGGUCUUACUGUGGAGUUUGGGACGAUUCUCGUUUACACGUGUAAGCAGAGCUGCUGGCCGCCGGGUCAGCAGGUGCCCGUGGAGGAAUUCUGUGUUAUACAAGAAGACCCAGA